rnacentral:rRNA from 1 species
AUUGAACGCUGGCUGCAGGCUUAACACAUGCAAGUCGAGCGAGCGGCGGACGGGUGAGUAAUGUCUGGGAAACUGCCUGCUGGCGGGGGAUAACUACUGGAAACGGUAGCUAAUACCGCAUACCAUCAGAUUUGCCCAGAUGGGAUUAGCCAGUAGGUGGGGUAAUGGCUCACCUAGGCGACGAUCCCUAGCUGGUCUGAGAGGAUGACCAGCCACACGGGAACUGAGAAACGGGCCAGACUCCGGCGGGAGGAAGGAGGGGGGAAUAUUGCACAAUGGGCGCAAGCCUGAAAAAGCCAGGGCGCGUGUGUGAAGAAGGCAUUCGGGUUGUAAAGAAAGUGAAGCGAGGAGGCGGUACUCGCAGAAGAAGCACCGGCUAAAUCCGUGCCAGCAGCCGCGGUAAUUC